AACGAAGGCUGGCGGCAGGCUUAACACAUGCAAGUCGAGCGCAUCCUUCGGGGUGAGCGGCAGACGGGUGAGUAACGCGUGGGAACGUACCCUUUCCUACGGAAUAGCUCCGGGAAACUGGAAUUAAUACCGUAUACGCCCUUAGGGGGAAAGAUUUAUCGGGGAAGGAUCGGCCCGCGUUGGAUUAGCUAGUUGGUGGGGUAAAGGCCUACCAAGGCGACGAUCCAUAGCUGGUCUGAGAGGAUGAUCAGCCACAUUGGGACUGAGACACGGCCCAAACUCCUACGGGAGGCAGCAGUGGGGAAUAUUGGACAAUGGGCGCAAGCCUGAUCCAGCCAUGCCGCGUGAGUGAUGAAGGCCUUAGGGUUGUAAAGCUCUUUCAGUAGGGAAGAUAAUGACGGUACCUACAGAAGAAGCCCCGGCUAACUUCGUGCCAGCCGCCGCGGUAA
rnacentral:rRNA from 1 species